rnacentral:rRNA from 1 species
AAGGGCACCACAAGAACGCGUGGAGCAUGUGGCUUAAUUUGACUCAACGCGGGAAAUCUUACCGGGUCCGGACACACUGAGGAUUGACAGGUGACAUAUAGUUAAUUUCGAUUAGCUUUUCAAAUAUGCUAGUCCUUUCAUGAUUGUGUGAUAGGUGGUGCAUGGCCGUUCUUAGUUCGUGGAGUAAUCUGUCUGCUUAAUUGCGCUAAUAAUGGGGCAAACCUAAACGUAGUUUAUUGUUUCUUCUCAGAAACUUUAGCUGCAAUGGUGUACGCCCCGAAGGCAACGAACGUGACCGCAACCUUUAGUUGCCUUGUUGUAAUUGAAAUAUAUUCUUCGUUUGAGGCUAAACUAGAGGGACCGCUGGUAUUCUGUAACCCAGAGGAAGGUUGCGGCAAUAACAGGUCUGUGAUGCCCUUAGAUGUUCCGGGCCGCACACGUGCGACAAUGAUCUAUGCAGUAAGCAUAUCAACAGGUCUGUACUUGUUAUAUUUUAAUAUACAGUACAGCAAGCCUGCUUCGAAAGUAAGUAGGUAAUCAAUUCGAAAUAUAGAUUUCCAUUUGCAUAUUUUAUCUUCACCAUCCUAUGGUGUUAGAAAUGCAUUCAUCGAAUUCAUGGUCGGGACAGACCCUUGUUAAUUGUUGGUCUCGUUUUCAACUAGGAAUGCCUUGUACGGGUCUUGGUCAACAAACCACCCGGAAUAUGUCCCUGCCCUUUGUACACACCGCCCGUC